AAGCUUAAAAUUUCUCUAAGAGUGGAGAUUUUUCUCUCAUUUAUAAAUAGAGGGGUCAUCUUAACUAGAGAUAACCCGGCACGACGUAAUUGGCAGGGUAGCAAGACAUGUGUCUUUUGUCAACACGACAUGUCCAUUAAACACUUAUUUUUUGAGUGUAAGUUCGCUCGUGCAAUUCGGGUCAUAGUUCAAAUAGUUUCAAAUCUAUACCCUCAUGUAGUGCACCUAACAUGUUCGACAAUUGGUUGCCAGUAUUGA
rnacentral:rRNA from 1 species